rnacentral:rRNA from 1 species
CACGGGGGGAGCAAGCGUUGUUCGGAAUCACUGGGCGUAAAGGGCGUGUAGGCGGUUAGGUAAGUGGAACGUGAAAUCCCUCGGCUCACCCGAGGACCUGCGUCCCAAACUGCCUAGCUUGAGUAUGGGAGAGGAUGAGGGAAUUCCUGGUGUAGCGGUGAAAUGCGUAGAUAUCAGGAGGAACACCUGCGGUGUAGACGGCUUACUGGACCAUAACUGACGCUGAGGCACGAAAGCGUGGGUAGCAAACAGG